rnacentral:rRNA from 1 species
CCUACGGGGGGCUGCAGUAACGAAUCUUCCGCAAUGCACGAAAGUGUGACGGAGCGACGCCGCGUGUGGGACGAAGUCCUUCGGGAUGUAAACCACUGUCAGGGGUUACCGGAGCCCCAGAGGAAGGCACGGCUAACUCUGUGCCAGCAGCCGCGGUAAUACAGAGGUGCCAAGCGUUAGGCGGAAUCACUGGGCUUAAAGCGCGUGUAGGUGGACGGGUAAGUAUCUUGUGAAAUCCCACGGCUCAACCGUGGAACUGCUGGAUAUACUGCUUGUCUUGAGGCAUUCAGGGGCAACCGGAACAAAUGGUGGAGCGGUGAAAUGCGUAGAUAUCAUUUGGAACGCCUAUGGUGAAAACAGGUUGCUGGGAGUUCUGACACUGAGACGCGAAAGCCAGGGGAGCAAACGGGAUUAGAUACCCUUGUAGUC